rnacentral:lncRNA from 1 species
GGUACAUGCAUAGACAGUUGAUCAUACAAAGUAUCAAGGGGUAAUCCAGGAGCAGAGUCGGGUCACGGAAACAGAUUUGCUACACGGGCAGAUACUCAGCGUAACAGCACAGCAGACAAGGAGCAGGCAAGGGCAGAAUCGAGUCACGGAAACAAGGUCGAGGAAGCCGGGGAAUCAAACGCUUGGGAAACAGGAAGACGGUACUAAUGCUGGAACUAGAAACAACAGAGAACAGGUUGAAAGACAGUGUCCUGAAAUCCCUUUCCUGAAAUCUAGCUGCAAUAUUUGGUUACACCAUUACAUAUCCGUCUGCCAGUCAACCAUCCGCCAUCAACUCUUGGAAACCCUGACAUAGUCUGGAGCUUUAGCAGUCAUAAGCUUGAGGAGUUGGAGAACCUCAGAGAUCCCGUUGCCCUGCACCAGAAUGUCAACUAAUGACCGGACAGUCGGAAAAGAGCAGCAAAUUUGUUACCACUGACAGAAAGCAGUGAUGGAUUCAAGAGCUGGUGAACAUCCACAAAACAGAAGGCUGCAGACAGUCUUAAAGGUCUAGUGACACUGUUGAUGCACAAGGUGUUACUGUAGAUAUAAAUACCUGCUCAAUACAAAAAAAAAAGAAUCAUGGAAAUAAAUCCAGCAUCAAAAAUAAAUGAAAGCCAUCAUAAAGAAACAUAUAUUGUUAUUGUUUUCUGAACUGAUUAGCAGUGGCAGUAUUUUAUUUGAUGAUAAAUCCACGGUAUUGCAAGACUGAUAAUGGCAUUUUGAAUUAGAAUUAGACUUGUCCAGUUCUACAACCAACUUUGAUGUUCACUUGUAAUGUAGUUGUCCUGAACAUAACAUCCAGUAAUUGUAAAAUUAAUUCAAAGAAUCUCAAAUGUAUUUACAGACACUUUGACAUGGUGUCAAUCUUUAAUGCAAAUGUGUAAAUUUCACAUCUGUUUUACAAGAGUUUGUUAGACAAAUUAAUUAAUAAAUAAUAUUUAAAGUCUGAGAUGAUGUGAGAGCCAUGGUCUUACCUCAGAGCAGAACUCACACAACAUAAUAUUUAAUCAUAUUAAUACAUUAUUAUGUUCGAUGUGUUGUGGUCAUUAUGAUCUACUGUCACUGAGGAGAGAUUGCCAUCUUUGCCCCUUAUGUUAUAAGGGAGAAGCCCUCACCUUUUCAUUCUGAGAGGCAGAUUAUUGUAUUUUUGUAUGUCUACAAUUUGCUGAAAUUAUA